rnacentral:lncRNA from 1 species
UUCUUAAUGAUACCCUAUUAUACUCAUAGACUGGCGCCUUGUCCAGUUAUCAUCAGAGAUGCUUCCUUCAGCAGAAGAUGGGAGCGUGUACAAAGACCCAGAGUCAGACAUUUUGAGAAGGAAGUCUAAAUUGGAGGUCUUUCUCUGUUUCCUUCCUUCGCAUGUCCAAGAACCCCCGUGAAAGAGGAUGAGGAAAGAUUGUAGGAAUCAGAGGGGAUGGAGGACACCAGGAGAACAUGGCCCACAGAAUCAACUAAGCAGGACUUACAAGGGCUCAUAGAGAAGCAGUAAUCCCUGUGUUAGGGUCCACAAUAAAUCCCAUAGAUGACCUCCAUCAGCAAGAGCGCUUUAUUGAAAUAUCUAACGAGUUGGGGUGCACAUGGUAACAGCCCAAGAGGCACACAGGCCCUCGUUUUAAACUGGGUUAGGGGAAUUCCAUGGAGAAGAGAUUAGUCUGGGAGCUGAUUAAGGGGUGGCUCUAGUGGUUAGGAACUUUCUAGAUGCAGAGUAGGAAAAGCUAUUUUUAGUUGCUUGAACUAGCAGAAGGCUGCGGUAAUCUGCUGAGUUAGCAAAAGGCCAAGGAGGUGCCUGCUGAUUGGUUGCACUUGAAUUGUGGUUUUUUUCCCCCAGAACUAUGUGUUCAGCUCCAGCCACCUCCAGUAAACUGAAACUAAGGCCUGGUCCCUGAAAGAGGCUACUACAAACCUGUCAUGGCUUUGUUAAGUCUCUCCGACCCUGUCAUCUGCAUGUGUCUUCACCAGGUCCUCUGCUUUUGGAUUGACACCCCAUUUCCCUUGUCAUGGAAAACACUCCUAGGGAAAGAUAUAAUCUACAUUUUAUGGAGGAUUUCCUAGCCUGGUACCAAAAAGAGCCAGGUUAGCACAAGAUUCAGACAUGAUGUAAUAGUGUGCCAAUUAAAUGCAAGCUGUUUGGGACCACAAAAGAGAGAGAGCCAUCAAUUUUUCCUUCCUGGAAUUCUGCAAGGCUUUUCAGAGUGUACCACAUUCAAGGAAUGGGCCAAGUUCUCAAGGCAGAGAAUCAUCUAGGUCCAUAAUCCAGAAAUAUGUCCUGUGGUUUCCUGUAGAAGAAAAGGCAGCUGAGAAAACAUAGCUAAGUAAAAGAAAGUGGAAGUGAGUAUUGAGAUUGUCAACGAAGAAAACCUGCACUAAUAACUAUUUUAAUAUUCAAAAUAUAUGAUUUUUACAGGAAAUUCUACUGAUAAUAGAACUUCUAUGGUAAUGUAACAAAUAUUUUAAGGCUUCAAGUUCCUUCACAAAAAUUAUCAUGCUAUAUUCUGAUCAUUGUUCUUAUUAAAGGAUAUGGUUGAAAUUUCAUGACUUUUAUUUCAUAAUUGUAAAAGAUUCCUAUCAUCUAGUCAGAGGUAAAAGUGAAAAGUAUUUUAUAUCUCCAUUGCCAUUAUUCAAUUCAACAGUAUCAUGGCCAUGUGACAAGCAAAGAAUCAGCUGGAAAUCUAGAAAAGACUGAAGAGCACUUUGGAGUAUGAUAAUAACAUAGCUGAGAAGUAGUCAAGGAACGGAAUAGGAUCCAGUUAUGCAAUAUAUUUUACACAUGCACAUAAUUAUCUUCUAGCAUCAAACUAGAUAGCAAGACAUUGCUAAAAGUAGCAUGUGAAAUGAAAUAUCUAAAAUGUGAUUUGGGGGUGAUCUGUGGAAGAUGCCUGGUCUAUAUGUUCAGAAGUAUUUAUAAUAGAAAUGUAAAAGUGGCAAAGUUGAAACUAUAAUGCUAAGAUAACAUGUAUGCUUGUUUUGAGAAAGAUGCAUACUUUUAAGUUGCUGUUUAGUGUUAACUUAUCUGAUCUUCACAAAGGACUGAAAAAUAGGUACCACCAUUCACCCCAUUUUACAGAUGAGCAAGGCUUAAUCUAUUUGCUGAAAACUACUUCAACUGUCAAUGCCAA